rnacentral:tRNA from 1 species
CAGGGUGUAGUUUAAUGGUAGAGCACUUUCCUAGCAUGCAUGAAGCCCUGGGAUCAAUCCCCAGCAACUGGA